AUUGAACGCCGGCGGCAUGCUUUACACAUGCAAGUCGAACGGUAACAGGCCGCAAGGUGCUGACGAGUGGCGAACGGGUGAGUAAUGCAUCGGAACGUGCCCAGUCGUGGGGGAUAACGCAGCGAAAGCUGUGCUAAUACCGCAUACGAUCUAUGGAUGAAAGCGGGGGACCGUAAGGCCUCGCGCGAUUGGAGCGGCCGAUGGCAGAUUAGGUAGUUGGUGGGGUAAAGGCUCACCAAGCCAACGAUCUGUAGCUGGUCUGAGAGGACGACCAGCCACACUGGGACUGAGACACGGCCCAGACUCCUACGGGAGGCAGCAGUGGGGAAUUUUGGACAAUGGGCGCAAGCCUGAUCCAGCAAUGCCGCGUGCAGGAAGAAGGCCUUCGGGUUGUAAACUGCUUUUGUACGGAACGAAACGGUCUGGGUUAAUACCCUGGGCUAAUGACGGUACCGUAAGAAUAAGCACCGGCUAACUACGUGCCAGCCGCCGCCGUAACAC
rnacentral:rRNA from 1 species